CAAACUGCUUAUUUUAAAAUUGAUCUAAAUAAGCUCUCUAUGCUCGGGCUAAAACCAAUAGGUCUUCUUUAGGGCUCUACGAUGUUAGUCUUUUAUAUGUUAAUCUCAAUAAAAAUUUCAUUCAACUUCUCAAAAAAUUUUUUUUUUUAAAUUUCAUAAAAUCGAGAGUGUGUGAUGUGGGAUCUCUGGGCAAGGAAAUGACAGAGUCAACAAUCGACGGCAAUGGCUGCUAACAUAAACCCUAAAUUCCUUCUGCCGUGUCCCUCGCAACAAUUAUGGACCUUUCCACAUGGAAUUGGAAGCUACUGUUGCCUCUACUCCUCUUCGGCAUUCUCUUCCCUUACGAAGACUGGGUAUCAACUCCAUCCUGCACCAUCGUGCCGACAACGGCGUACCCUAAUCAAGAGUACGUCGUCGCUAAAGAGGACAACACGGAGGAGGAUUUGAAAGUCAUGAUGGUCGCUAAUUUGUUGCUCUAUGGGUCCGAAGCUGGCAUUUUUAAUCAAUAUUUUAGAGAUUAUUACCUGUCCAAGUUUUUCACAGUACUUGCUUCUUUUCUUUUCUAUGGUUAAUGUUUGAUUAAUUGAUCAAUUAAGGAAUCACAGUUAAUUUGUGACGCAUUGAACGUAUUGAACUAGUAAAUUGAUUGAUUUAUUGGUAUUUUUCUUGUUUUUCUAAUUUCAUGGAACUAACCAUCUGUAAAUUGCUGCUGCUUCUUGUCACAGAAGUCUUUUCAUACAUUGAAGCCUGAUAUGCUGCUAGUAUUGGGUGAUGUUUCGGCUAAAGGAUUUGAGUUGACAAAAACUAAAUGGGUAUCUGUGCUACAUCAUUUUCAUCGAAUCAUAGGACCCUUUCUUGAGCUCCCGUUCCAUGUUGUUCUUGGUGAUAGGGAUGUUGGGGAAUGUAGUAAGCUUGAUGUAAGAUCUGUUCAAUGGCUAGCUAGGAGUUUUCCAGGUUUAGACUCAGCUGGUUGCGGUGCAUUUGAAAUUAGUAAUGUUAGCUUUGUCUCACUUAAUGCUGUUGCAUUGCUUUGUGGCAAUAAUAAGUUACGGUUUAACGUUGAAGGGGCAAUAGAAUCGGAAAGCAUAGAUCUCCAAAUGGAAACUGAAAACAUAUCAAAAGUGAUGGAUGAUUCUGAAAAGUUCAGUGAACUGUCUGAUAACUUUAGGUGGAGAGAGAACGCAAAGUCAUCUGGAUCUGGCCCUGUCCUCUUACUUCAUUUUCCGUUGCACAAGACAGCAAAUGGCAGCUGUAGGGAGGGCAGCAUUUUUGAGAAAGUUCCUAGCUUUUUUCAACGUGGCUCAAAUGCACUGCGCAGCAGUUGGACAGGAGCUAACAGUGUGUUAUUAAACCCUCUAUGUGACAGUUGAAUGCCAAAAUCCAAGUUAUGAAACUUGGUGUGGAAUGCCCCUUUAUUAUAAACAUCCUUUUUUCAAACAAGCUAUUUAGGAUGUGAAGAUAGUCUUUCAUCAAAGGAUUGGAUGAAAUUAGGUUGUAUUUUGCAAUUUAAUUAAUAUAGUGUUGAUCUUUCUGAUAAUGGGAAUUUAUAGUGUCUUCAUGUACCUUUUAUUUUGUCUUCUAAAUUUGCUGAAUAUCAUUUAGAUUACUGGACGUUCUAUUUUGUAAAAUUUCCUCUUUCUUUCCUUCAGGGAAUUUACUGAUAGCGGACCCUAUAAUUUAUUGCAUACAAUCCCACCAAAUGCUUCUGAAUAUAUUUUUCAAGCACUCAAGCCAAGGAUUAUUUUCAGUGCACACACCGAUGAAUUUUGCGAUCACACUCACUCAGAUGGGACUCGUGAGGUGACUGUUCCUGCAAUGACAUGGAAAGUGAGGGAUAACCCUGGUUUUGUUAUUGCCACUUUUCAUAGUGACAGAAGACCUGUAAGUGUCAGCUACUGCUCCCUUGCUAGAGAGUCUCAUGUGUUAAUGGUGCAUAUGUCUUUUCUGAUUCUAUUGCUGACAAUAUGGCUAGUGGCAAAUACACCUCUGCUUAGAAGUUUAAGAUGAUGAAGGGGGACUAGCUGUCCUGUAUUAUUUGUUGUACAUUAUUCAAUUUAUGAAUUUUGUGUCAGUUACAAUGAUAAAGCAUUUUUCUUUUUUUUACCAUACAAUGAGUGAAAGAGCUUAUAACCAUAGGGACUAAUUUAAAAACCUAGUAGUUGUUGAGGAAGAUAGAAAAGGGACUUCAAUCCCUCGAAUGAAGGUUUUGUUUACCUCUUUUCAGCAGAGCUUAUUGGCCCACCUGCACCCAAUAUAUAUAAAUAUAUGCUAAUAAAAAUGUUUUAUCUAGUCGGUUAAAUAUGUUACUGAACAUUGACCUCCUCCAUGUUUUCUUUAAAGAGCAAAGUUUUAAUCUCAAACCAAAAUAUGAAGCUGAAGUAGAUCCAGCUGUGUUGUAACCGCGGUGAUACCUAUAGUUUUUACACAACUCAACAAUGCUUGGUGUAAAAAAUAUUGCAAGGUGGACCUUUAUAGUUACCGGGAGAGUCUGUGGCUCAUCACAAUAGUGGCCUAUAACAGUAAGAGACCUGGUUUUUGAUUUCUUAAGUGGGAGGAGUUUGACAGAGUUCUGUAGGAGGACAUUGCCCUCUCUAGCAGCUACUGGAUCCUGAUGCUCUUUUGAGCAGACUUGGUCUGGACCAAUUUUUCCAUAAGGUAGUUUCAAUAUAUUGCCAUUUGCCUAACCUCAUCCUGACAGAAAAGACGUUGCCAAGGGCUCUGUCUAUUUUUGAUUCGGUCAAUUUUUUUUUCUGUUUUAUUGCUGCUUUGGUGUGGCUCACCUGCAGUCCACAUCCAUUCCAGCUUUCAGGACGUGCGAUAGCAUCCUCCGGUUAUUUAGCAUAUCCUUGCUUAUCAUGCAAUAGGGCAACUGCAUCAGUCUGAACAAUAUACGUGCAACUAAUAUAGCAUGAUAUUAAUUGCAAAACCAUCAGAAUUCCCUUGAAAUUUGCCAUACCAUUACUCCUGGAAACCCCAGUUUCCUCCGGCUGUCUUAGACAAGAUAUUUUAAUCCGCACCAUUUGGGACUUCAUUAAGAUUAUAAGCACACAUUAUCCCACCGGCUUUCCCUUCUUCUAUGCGACUAUGAAAUGGAGGUUGGAAUGUAUCUGCCAAAUCCUGCAACGUAACCGAAGGCAGAAAAUAAAGUACCAUAUUUAAGGGUUGCGAAGAACGUUGCAUCAGAAAACUAAUCAAAUCAGAAGAGAAAAACAAUAUAAUUUUAGACAAAUUACAAAUGAAAAAAAGUAAGCUUAAAAAUUGGAGUUACAUCGUUUUAUUAAUGCUACAUGUAACAAUCCUGAACAGAAUGUCAACAGUAAAAAAAAGGAAAAACAGAACGUCAACAGUGAACCCUCUUGAAUCCCACAUGACAAAAACCCAACUUACGUGAAAAUCCUCCAACCCAGUAACUUAUAUCAUGCUAAUAACUAAUCAAAUGUCUUGGAAUGAAAAUUUUGGGAGUAUGAAAAAAAUAAUAAUAAUAAAACCCUCAAGCCU
rnacentral:misc_RNA from 1 species